rnacentral:rRNA from 1 species
AGAGUUUGAUCCUGGCUCAGAGCGAACGCUGGCGGUAUGCUUAACACCUGCCAGUCCAGCGAGAAAAUGGCUUCCGCCAUGAGUACCGCAGCGGACGGGUGAGUAAUACAUGGAUAAUCUGCCUUUAGGACUGGGACAACCCUGGGAAACUAGGGCUAAUACCGGAUAAGACCACAGAAUCUGCGGAUUCAGUGGUAAAAGGUGGCUUUCGGGCUAUCACCUAGAGAUGAGUCCAUGUCCCAUCAGGUUGUUGGUGAGGUAACGGCCCCCCAAGCCUAAGACGGGUAGCCGGCCUUAGCGGGUGAUCGGCCACACGGGGACUGAGACACGGCCCCGACUCCUACGGGAGGCAGCAGUGGGGAAUAUUGGACAAUGGGCGCAAGCCUGAUCCAGCAAUACCGCGUGAGGGAUGAAGGCCCUAGGGUCGUAAACCUCUGUCAGUUGGAACGAUGGGUUUGUAGGUUAAUACCCUGCAAACUUGACGGUACCUUCAAAGGAAGCCCCGGCUAACUCCGUGCCAGCAGCCGCGGUAAUACGGAGGGGGCAAGCGUUGCUCGGAAUUACUGGGCGUAAAGGGUCCGCAGGUGGCUUUGUAAGUUAGAUGUGAAAUCUCAGGGCUCAACCCUGAAACUGCAUCUAAUACUGCAGAGCUUGAGUACAGGAGAGGUUGGCGGAAUUCCCGGUGUAGCGGUGAAAUGC